rnacentral:lncRNA from 1 species
GCGGCUGGCGGGAUUGGCGAGAUUGGCUGAAGCUGUGCGUGUCUGAGUAGGUUCAUGGCUCUGUGUCACUGUACAGCAGCUCUCUUUGGCAAAGUUGUAACACUCACUUUCUUGGAAAUUGUCACAGUUUUACAUUUAAAAAAAUUUGCAAUAGCAAAAAAAAAAAAAAAAAAAAAAAGAAAAGAAAAACAUAAAACAACAUAAUAUGAAACAGAAGACAUUUGGAUUCUAUUUCUUUCAAAAAAGUAAAUUUAUCACAAAAUUGAACUUCUCAAUAAAGCAGUGUCCAUGUCAAAACAUAACUGUUAGUAGGUAGUCUGUGGCAACGAUGAGUAAAUGACGAAGCAAGUCUGAGUCUGUGUGUACUGAUGCGCUGCCUUUUCUGUUGAGACUAUCAUCGUGCGUCCUACCAGAGGCAAUGACCCGAAUCGAUGUUGGAAAUAUAACUUAUGCAGGAAUAGUUCUGUAAAUACAUUUAAAUAAACUGUAAAGAUAUUU